rnacentral:rRNA from 1 species
UACCAGCACCCCGAGUGGUCGGGACGAUUAUUGGGCCUAAAGCAUCCGUAGCCGGUUCUGCAAGUCCCCCGUUAAAUCCAGCUGCUCAACAGAUGGGCCGCGGAGGAUACUACAGAGCUAGGAGGCAGGAGAGGCAAGCGGUACUCAGUGGGUAGGGGUAAAAUCCGUUGAUCCAUUGAAGACCACCAGUGGCGAAGGCGGCUUGCCAGAAUGCGCUCGACGGUGAGGGAUGAAAGC